rnacentral:rRNA from 1 species
GACAGAGGUGCCAAGCGUUAGGCGGAAUCACUGGGCUUAAAGCGUGUGUAGGCGGGUCGUUAAGUACCUUGUGAAAUCCCCCGGCUCAACCGGGGGACGGCUGGGUAUACUGGCGAUCUUGAGCCACCUAGGGGCAGUCGGAACAAGUGGUGGAGCGGUGAAAUGCGUAGAUAUCACUUGGAACGCCAAUGGUGAAAACAGACUGCUGGGGGUGUGCUGACGCUGAGACACGAAAGCCAGGGGAGCGAACGGG